rnacentral:misc_RNA from 1 species
GAGAAGUGGGAUAUCCGUACAGGAUACGCCUAACAACAGCAAGGACAUGGGGAUGGCAAGUGGCGUGCGCGAGUGUAUGCUCGUGCAGCCAACAUUUAUUACACUCGUGUGGCAGGAUGCAGGUGGCAGCAGUCGCCGUGCAGCAUACGGGAAAAGUGCAUGAAAGGAUA